CGCAAUGGGUAACCGGCGAACGGGUGCGUAACACGUGAGCGACCUGCCUUUCCGCGGGGGAUAGCCGGCCCAACGGCCGGGUAAUACCGCAUACGCUUCCUUGGGGGCAUCCCUGGGGAAGGAAAACCUCCGGGGCGGAGAGAGGGGCUCGCGACCUAUCAGCUAGUUGGCGGGGUAACGGCCCACCAAGGCGGCGACGGGUAGCUGGUCUGAGAGGAUGAUCAGCCACACGGGGACUGAGACACGGCCCCG
rnacentral:rRNA from 1 species